AUUCCAACCCAGGACAGAAAAUUAAAGUAAAUACAAAAUAGAGCAAUAAGGACUUCAACAUUUCUUAGAAAAUUUGAUUACUUUAUACUUCAAAACAUU